CUGGCGGCGUGCUUAACACAUGCAAGUCGCACGAGAACUCUUCUGCUUGCAGAAGAUAGUAAAGUGGCGCACGGGUGAGUAACGCGUGGGUAAUCUACCUCCGAAUCGGGGAUAACCCGCCGAAAGGCGAGCUAAUACCGGAUAAUAUCUUUAAAACAUCCGUUUUUUUGAUUAAAGGUGGCCUCUACAUGUAAGCUACUGUUUGGAGAUGAGCCCGCGUACCAUUAGCUUGUUGGUAGGGUAAUGGCCUACCAAGGCUUCGAUGGUUAGCUGGUCUGAGAGGAUGAUCAGCCACACUGGAACUGACACACGGUCCAGACUCCUACGGGAGGCAGCAGUGAGGAAUUUUGCGCAAUGGGGGAAACCCUGACGCAGCAACGCCGCGUGAGUGAUGAAGGCCUUCGGGUCGUAAAGCUCUGUCGAGUGGGAAGAACCUGAUGGAUGAUAAUACCAUCCUUCAUUGACGGUACCACUAAAGGAAGCACCGGCUAACUCCGUGCCAGCAGCCGCGGUAAUACGGAGGGUGCAAGCGUUAUUCGGAUUUAUUGGGCGUAAAGGGCGCGUAGGCGGUCUCUUAAGUCAGAUGUGAAAGCCCGAGGCUUAACCUCGGAAGUGCAUUUGAAACUGAGGGACUUUGAGUAUGGGAGAAGG
rnacentral:rRNA from 1 species